UACAGAGGUCUCAAGCGUUGUUCGGAAUCAUUGGGCGUAAAGGGCGCGUAGGUGGUUCUGUAUGUCUACCGUGAAAGCGUACGGCUCAACCGUAUUUUGUCGGUGGAAACUGCAGGACUUGAGGCUGGGAGGGGCUGGUGGAAUUCCCUGUGUAGCGGUGAAAUGCGUAGAGAUGGGGGAGAACACUCGUGGCGAAGGCGGCCAGCUAGACCAGUUCUGACACUGAGGCGCGAUAGCGUGGGGAGCAAACAGG
rnacentral:rRNA from 1 species